AUAAUUUAUUUUUCUUGACAGUCUUAUAUUGUUUACUUGGGAGGACAUUCACACGGUUCAGAAUUAACUUCUUCUGAUCUUCACCGGGUCAAUGAAUUCCAUCAUGAGUUUCUUGGCUCAUUCUUAGGAAGUAAAGAGAAGGCGAAGGACUCGAUAAUUUAUUCCUACAAGAGACAUAUCAAUGGUUUUGCUGCUGUUCUUGAAGAGGAAGAUGCAUCAGAAAUAGCAAAGCAUCCAGAUGUAGUAUCUGUUUUCUUGGAUCAAGGAAGAAAUUUACACACAACACAUUCAUGGGAUUUUCUAAUGUUGGAAAGAAAUGGAAAUAUUCACGCCUCGUCAUUAUGGGUAAACUCGGGGUUUGGUGAAGAUACGAUCAUUGCAAAUCUUGAUACUGGCGUAUGGCCUGAGUCAGAAAGCUUUAAUGGCAAAGGAUUCGGCCCCAUUCCUACGAAGUGGAAAGGAAUCUGUCAACUUGAUGGCAGUGCUGGAGCCCCUUGCAAUAGGUACUUUCUUUUGUU